rnacentral:lncRNA from 1 species
CAUAAUCGAAGGGCUUCCAGCGUAGGGCGUAGGGGGAGAGGCCCGAAGCCCUGGAGACAGCGCCCGAGGGAUGGAGGCCGCGCUCGGCUGCGCUCAGGUCCGGGUGGCUCCGGGAGCUGAGACCCCGCAGGAUGCAGCGGGGGGGGGCCAGGGCCUGAUCCCCUACCCCUGCGAGCCAGGGCCGCCUACGCCCCCACUGCUUCCCACAGGACCAGAUGGAAAGAAACUGGGCAAGCCAAUGAAAGUCUCUGGGGAUCAUGGGAAUUGAGUGUCUAUGAAAACCAUAUUCCAGACAAGAAUAUAGUCUAAGGACACAGCAAGAGGCAACAUUUUGGAAGCAGAGGGCAACUCUCACUGGAAACCAAAUCUCCUGGCACCUUGAUCUUGGAUUUUACAGCCUCCAGAACUGAUAGCUGGGAGGCAUUACAUAGUCAUGUGCGAGGUCAAAACUGAGUCACCACCACAACCAAGUUCCAGCUGGCAAGAAGAGGAAAAAUAACACAGAGGAGUUAUGACCAGUGUUGUAAGGAUCUGGCCUAGAAAUGGCAUGCAUCUCUUCCACUAAUAUCCUAUUGGUAAAAAUGUAGUCACAUGGGCACACCACCUAUCUGCAUGGAAGGCUGGGAAAUGUUGAUCGGUAGGGCAGCCAUAUGUGUAGGAAGGAGAAAACAGAAUUUGGUGGAUACCUAGUAGUCUCUGCCAUACCCUUGACCAGAAAUUUUUCUUCUAAAGAAUUUAAUUCUAAAAGUUAUAGACAUUCCCAAAGAUAUACCUGCAAGCAUCACAGCUUUGUGUAUAAUUGCAAAAGUUGAAAUCAACAUGAAUGCCCAAAAUAGUGAAUUAUUUAAACAGAUUAUUACCCAUAUUAUGAAGAAAUACUCUGCAACUCUUAAAAAUAAAUGUAAUGUGCCAGGCGCAAUGGGAUAUGCCUGCAGGCCCAGCUACACGGGAGGCCAAGGCAGGAGGAUCACUUGAAAUCAAGAGUUCAAGUCUAGCCUAGACAACAUAGUGAGACUUGGUCUCUAAAAAAGAAAAAAAAAAAUAAAACUGAUGUAAUGAAUAUAUAAUUACAACAAAAGAGGUCUAACACUAUAGUAGAAAAGUUUGGGGCACUCAUCCCAUUCAUAAUUAUUUUACAUUUAAAUUACUGUUCCUACUUAAGUGGUGAGCUUGGUAACCAUUUUCAUAUCAGGUGAUACUGCUGCAGUAAUCAUAGCUGUUUGAAUCAGGAAUAAUCCCAAUCACAUUUUCUCUUAAUCGUUUAUUAUACUGGGCAUUGGGGUUGCAAGAUAAUGCACAGUCCGAGCUCAAUACAUGUCUUCAUGUACCUGUAUGUAAAUCCCACUUUUAUUCUAAAAUUCUUUGAAUAUUUUGUUUCUUGGAACCCAAUGAUCCUAAGAAAAUUAUGUACUUUUACCUGAAAAUUAAAACCAAUAUUUAUAAAAAGUGUAUAUGCAGUAUGAUACCACUUUUAAAAAAAGAUAAAUUUAUAGAAAAAAGUUUAUAUGACUGACAACAAUGUCUCUGAGUGGUAGGAUUACAGUUAAUUUUUAUUUUCUUCAUUCUACUUAUCUUUAUUUUCUGAACUUUCUACAAUGAACAUGUUUUAUUUUUACUUUUGUUAAAAUAAAUAACAUUUAAUUUGACGGAAAAUUCUAAAAAUCAACAUUUGGUAACUUAAAUAUUCAUUGGCACAUGAUUCUGUGCCUGUUUCUGGGGGUCAUUCCCAUGAGAAGAGCAGGUAGAACUUAUGAGAAUAGAGCAGUCGAAAUAUUAUAGGUUUCAUAUUUUACGGCUUUAUUGAAAACAUUGAUAUAUUGAAUAUUCAUAAAUUUUAAUUUAACUUUCUUUUAUAAUCCUUAAUGUGAGGCUAAGGUAUAAGGAGAAAGGAGAUUGGUAAGGAAGUGUGAUACAUAUUGAAUCAGGUGUCAAGGUACCAUUUGUGCCUGGAUCUGACCAAUAGACCAAGGUAAAAAUCUCAAAGAAUGAGACUUGUAAUGAGAAUGCCACAAACUUGAAUACCUUAUGCACAAAACACAAACAUUGUUAUGCAUAAUGUACAUGAACCCUGAAACAAAGAUAAUGAUUUGGACCACCCAACUGAAGUGGCAUGUUAUGUUUUUGGCAUGAACAAAAGAAACAAGAGAGAAAAAAAUCAAAAUAAUUAAAAUAAAUUGUUAGAGAAAAGUUACUUUAAAAAUAGCUAUAACGCUUUGCAAUUUCAGUAACAGUUCUGCCUCUGAUGCAAUGUAAAACAUGUAUUAGACAUUCAGGCUCCACAAUAAAUUUUAAUGAGCACUACAAAUUUAGAAUAUAUAAAAAUAUCAGUAACCUAUGAAUUCAUCAACAUAACUCACUUUUCAGUUAAGUUAGGCUGAGUUGAAAUUCUACUAAGUUUUCCCAUAUUCUUGAUAAAGGCUAAAUUUGAAAUAAUUUAUUUAGAUGACUAAUUGGCAAUUUGAUAGUAGUUACAUUUUAUGUAACACUUGAUAUAAUAACCCAAAUUAAUUAGCUCAAUAUUAUCUUCUGUGGUUUAUUGAUCCAAAAGUACAUAUUUGUUAUGUAAACUUAUACUAUGUAAACUUGAAUUAGUUUUUUGCUUCCUUGAAUUAAUAAAGCCCAUUAAUGCAAAUCUAAGCCUUCAUAGACUUUUCCAAUCCUUAGUUAAAUAUUAAAAACUGAGUAUUGUAGUUAUUUGCUAGGUAUAAAAGGUGACUCAGAGUAGAGAGUAAGAUGUCAGCAAAUAGACAAUAAGAUGUCAGCAAAAGUGCCUCAAAUUUUAACUGCGUCAAGUUAAGGGCAUUGUAAAUACUGUAGUUUUAUGUAGCUUGCAACUUCUACUGAAAUGAGUUUAAUCAUGUCUUUCACAUAGCUGAAGUUUGUGUCAAGAUUUAAGCUGAUUUUCUCAUUCUUAUCAAAGUCUCACCUGGGGGUAGGGAGGGGUAGGCCUACCUCCCACCUCUAUACUAUCAUUUUAGGAACAGACAGGCAUAAAUCUGUUCAUAUGGUAGAACACAUGAUGUUAGAGUAUAUUUUGUUGAAUGCUAUGGAAUAUUAAUAUAAUUAAUUCUAAAAUAUCACCUAAAAUAUGUCAACUGAAGAUCUGACUGUACUAAAUAUGAAAAAUAAAGCAGCACAUACUUUC